rnacentral:lncRNA from 1 species
UGUACUAGACACCAUUCCCAGCUCUUUGACCUCGGAUAAACUCUUGUUGAUUAGGAUUCAGUACGGGAUUCUUUCGGAGUAUGAGCUUGAGCUUCCCGGGCCAAUUGACCGGGCUAGCACCCCUCCCCCUAGCCGCUUUUGUUUAUACUGGGAAGCCUUCCAUGUCGGGCUUCGACUUCCACUCCCGUCUUUUGUUGUUGCUCUUUUUUGCUUUUUAAAUAUUUCUCUAGUUUCUAUAGCACCG